UGCAUAAGUGCUCCUAGUGCAUAUGCUUACAUGCAUACACAAACAUACAGAUAGAGGAAAGAGCGCAAAAAGAGUUGGUUAUAGUGAAGGUAUUGCACUGGAUAUACAUAGUGAGAUGCAUGCACACAUUUCGGUACAUUUCGUGUAGUGGCA
rnacentral:lncRNA from 1 species